AACGAACGCUGGCGGCAUGCCUAACACAUGCAAGUCGAACGAGCCCUUCGGGUCUAGUGGCGCACGGGUGCGUAACGCGUGGGAACCUGCCCUUAGGUUCGGAAUAACUCCCCGAAAGGGGUGCUAACACCGGAUAAUGUCUUCGGACCAAAGAUUUAUCGCCUUUGGAUGGGCCCGCGUUGGAUUAGCUAGUUGGUAGGGUAAAAGCCUACCAAGGCGACGAUCCAUAGCUGGUCUGAGAGGAUGAUCAGCCACACUGGGACUGAGACACGGCCCAGACUCCUACGGGAGGCAGCAGUGGGGAAUAUUGGACAAUGGGCGAAAGCCUGAUCCAUCAAUGCCGCGUGAGUGAUGAAGGCCUUAGGGUUGUAAAGCUCUUUUACCCGGGAUGAUAAUGACAGUACCGGGAGAAUAAGCUCCGGCUAACUCCGUG
rnacentral:rRNA from 1 species